GUAUGUGACAAUGAUUUGUCAGGGACAUCUGCCACCUCACUGACUGUCAGGAUUGACCUGGUUGAUCUGUCUGGCUAGGUGGGUGUCCCCUCCUUCCUCAUAGCUCCAGUAUGCUCCAAUAUGCACGGUUGGUCCAGGAGGACAACCUUCUCCAGUAGAUUUCCCUCCAUAGAAGAGCAUGCUUGGGCCAAGAGCAUACACGGAGAUGCACUCUCCAGUCAAACCUUCAAAGAAGCUUUGGAGGUUCAUAAGGGAACCAGGGAGGGCUGAUGGGAGAGCUGGAGGUGGGGGGUACCAAGCCAACGUCU
ensembl:misc_RNA 7SK 7SK RNA